AGAAAAACAGUAAACUGAACUUCCUUCGGGAAUCAGGUGAGGAACUUUCUCUGGUCCUUACCUAGUUCCAACUUUGGAUCCCCACCCUCUCUUGCAAUGAUUAUCAGGGUCGCUCUGGAGCUCCGCCCCUCCCCCCCAAAAGUUAGAUUAGAUAGA